GAUGAACGCUGGCGGCGUGCCUAAUACAUGCAAGUAGAACGCUGAAGCUUGGUGCUUGCACCGAGCGGAUGAGUUGCGAACGGGUGAGUAACGCGUAGGUAACCUGCCUCUUAGCGGGGGAUAACUAUUGGAAACGAUAGCUAAUACCGCAUAAAAGUCGACAUCGCAUGAUGUUGACUUGAAAGGUGCAAUUGCAUCACUAAGAGAUGGACCUGCGUUGUAUUAGCUAGUUGGUGAGGUAACGGCUCACCAAGGCGACGAUACAUAGCCGACCUGAGAGGGUGAUCGGCCACACUGGGACUGAGACACGGCCCAGACUCCUACGGGAGGCAGCAGUAGGGAAUCUUCGGCAAUGGGGGCAACCCUGACCGAGCAACGCCGCGUGAGUGAAGAAGGUUUUCGGAUCGUAAAGCUCUGUUGUAAGAGAAGAACGAGUGUGAGAGUGGAAAGUUCACACUGUGACGGUAACUUACCAGAAAGGGACGGCUAACUACGUG
rnacentral:rRNA from 1 species